UACGUAGGGUGCGAGCGUUGUCCGGAAUUAUUGGGCGUAAAGAGCUUGUAGGCGGUUUGUCGCGUCUGCUGUGAAAAUCCGGGGCUCAACCCCGGACUUGCAGUGGGUACGGGCAGACUAGAGUGUUGCAGGGGGAGACUGGAAUUCCUGGUGUAGCGGUGAAAUGCGCAGAUAUCAGGAGGAACACCGGGUGGCGAAGGCGGGUCUCUGGGCCGAUACUGACGCUGAGGAGCGAAAGCGUGGGGAGCGAACAGG
rnacentral:rRNA from 1 species